GACGAACGCUGGCGGCGUGCCUAAUACAUGCAAGUAGGACGAAGUUGCGAACGGGUGAGUAACGCGUAGGUAACUGCCUCUUAGAGGGGGCUAACUAUUGGAAACGAUAGCUAAUACCGCAUACUAGUAGAUGGACCUGCGUUGUAUUAGCUAGUAGGUAGGGUAAUGGCCUACCUAGGCAACGAUACAUAGCCGACCUGGUAGGUGGACCGGCCACACUUGGACUGAGACACGGCCCAGAUUCCUACGGACAGCAGCAGUAGGGACUCUUCGGCCAUGGGGGGAACCCUGACCGAGAAACGCCGCGUGAGUGAAGAAGGUUUUCGGAUCGUAAAGCUCUGUUGUUAAGGAAGCGGUACUUAACCAGAAAGGGACGGCUAACUACGUGCCAGCAGCCGCGGUAAUAC
rnacentral:rRNA from 1 species